GAUCGGAUUUUUUCAAAAAAAAUCACAACUGAGCAUUAAGACCUGCAGUGUGAACGUAGCCAAAAGCUCUGACUGAAAACAACAGAUUCCAUCAAAGACUGUUAAAAACUCCAGAAUGUAGCUCACCUGUCAGCUGGUUACCUUUCAUAUCUACCUGUUUACCAACAGACUUACUGUCUCAGGUAGAUUCUGCAGACAGGUGAACACAGGUGCAGACAGACAGGUGAACACAGGUAAAAACAGGUUACUGUUUGUCCUCCAGCUCAGUGGUAGAAACAGAUUUAUUCCCUUGUUUUUAAAGAUAGAGAUCAUCAUGUUUGUUUACAUAAACAACAACAAGAGACAAACAAACGACAUCAGGUCCACCAGGACCAAAACAGUACCUCUAAGGUUCUGCUUCAUGAGCUUCAGUUCAARAACUGCACAACUUCACUGUACAAGUCCCCGGUCCACAUCAAGUUCAGUCGGGUCAGGACACGUCCCACAGGUCCCAGCGGUCAGGACAUGUCCCAGCUCACAAAGAAGAACAGAAA